rnacentral:lncRNA from 1 species
GUUGUAUAUAUGACAAACCGAAAAAGUUCGGCGAGAGUAGUUCAGAUGAAGAUGAAGACGAAUGUGAUCAUUGCCAUGGACAUGUAGAGAAAAAGAAACAUAAACACAAUCCAUCAGCGGGUAACAGUAUUGACAGUGAGGGUGGAUUGAGUCCGGGUGAUGGACCUAGCUCGUAAAUUAAAAAAAAUCAACUGUACUCCGCACAUUCUACGUAGACGAAUAAAUUUGGAAAGACUCUACCAACACUGUUACCUUACAUUCUUAACUAUAGUAGAAUUUUUAGUGAUUGAUAGUAUAAAGUAUUUCAAUGUUCUGAUGUAUUUCCAGUUUGAAUUCCAUUUUUAACCUAUUGUAGAGGUAUAUCAUUUGAUCUUGUAUACCGGCUGUAAUUUGUCUGUUUGUAACAGUUAAGCCCUAAUCGACAUUGUUAUUUACUUUUUCAAGAUCAAUGACUAUAAGUAUCCAUUUAAAUUAAAUAACUUGCACUAUUAAUUAAUUAUUAUAUGUAUGUGUCUGACAUUAUAAAUGCGUUUUGCUAUCAAACACAAAGAGUUCACUUAAAAAGUUUACUGUAUUUUUAAUGUUUUUUCAAUAAUAUACCAAUAUAUCAAAUGUUUACCAAUUUAAACCUCUUCAAAUGUUAAUGUUCAAUGAAAAACUCUUAAGUAGUAAGACGAGAGGAGAUAAACCAAUGUGAUGAUAUAAUUAUUGUUAAAUUAGGAAUAUAAGUAAUAUUUAUCCUAAUAAUAAGCAAUAAGAUUUAAGUGAAACGUAAAA